rnacentral:rRNA from 1 species
GUAAACCCAGGCAAUACCCCCCACUGCCCGCCAGAGCACUACAAGCAAUAAGCUUAAAACUCAAAAGACUUGACGGCACUUCACCGCCCUAGAGGAGCCUGUCCUAUAAUCGAUAAUCCACGCUAAACCCCACCUGCCCUAGCCCCAGCCUAUAUACCGCCGUCUUAAGCCCGCCUUACAAAAGACCCACAGCGAGCCAACUAGAACGCUAACACGCCAGGUCAAGGUGUAGCCAACGGGCAGGAAGAGAUGGGCUACAUUUUCUAUACCUAGAAAAUAACCAACAGUGCCGUGAAACUUGCACUAAAAGGAGGAUUUAGUAGUAAGCCGAUCAAGACCGUUCGACUGAA